rnacentral:rRNA from 1 species
UUCCAGACUCCUACGGGAGGCAGCAGUGGGGGAUAUUGCACAAUGGGGGAAACCCUGAUGCAGCGACGCCGCGUGAGGGAAGACGGUCUUCGGAUUGUAAACCUCUGUCUUCGGGGACGAAACUGACGGUACCCGAGGAGGAAGCCACGGCUAACUACGUGCCAGCAGCCGCGGUAAUACGUAGGUGGCGAGCGUUGUCCGGAAUUACUGGGUGUAAAGGGAGCGUAGGCGGGAAUGCAGGUUGAAUGUGAAAUCUAUCGGCUCAACCGAUAGCUGCGUUCAAAACUGUGUUUCUUGAGUGAAGUAGAGGCAGGCGGAAUUCCUAGUGUAGCGGUGAAAUGCGUAGAUAUUAGGAGGAACACCAGUGGCGAAGGCGGCUUGCUGGACAGAGACUGACGUUGAGGCUCGAAAGCGUGGGGAGCAAACAGGAUUAGAUACCCUUGUA